CAGCAUUCUAGAUAAGCUGGAGCAUCUUGGAUAAGUUGGCUGUCUUGGGCAAUCAGAUUUAUCAUCAACAUCAUCUUAGCAAAGUUGGCUGUCAGGAUGUUUGGCUGUUGGUCAUGGGUGACCUGCAGGAGGAGAUGCUAAAAUGGUUCCUGCUGCAACAUGUGGAUGCAUUAUUUAAAAACAAAGAAAGGAUUUGUUUUCCCUUUCAGAAACUUUAGCCCUAUUCUGAAGUUAAUAAAAAAGAGGCUUUACAAGCCUCCCAAAGUACACUGGAAGUCCCGCCCCCAGCAUCUCACUCACUCACUCUCACACACCCCUUGCUGCUCAUGAUUACAGUGUUUGAAGAGUGAUGCUGCAAGCAUGAUGGCAUCAUCUCUGAAGAUGCAGGAAACCUUCCCAGUGUUGCAGGUCAUGUUGCCUGUGCCCAGAAGACUCUUAUGUUGACACUACACAAUAGUAUCCUUGUGUAACCUUGAUGAAGUAAAGCCUUUUUGUUUAUGUGUGA